GGGUGCGAUCAUACCAGCACUAAUGCACGGGAUACCAUCAGAACUCCACAGUGAAACGUGCUUGGGCGAGAGUAGUAUGAGGAUGGGUGACCUCCUGGGAAGUCCUCGUGUUGCACCUC
rnacentral:rRNA from 1 species